rnacentral:piRNA from 1 species
UGAUUUUGCUCAACUGAUGACUGAUGA